CUGGCCCAAGGUUCAUGCUGCUUCCUUUUACAUCAUCUUCAGUCUGAGACGUGAAGCCUUCUUCUGUAAUGUGCUGUUUGCCAUCACCUUUGACCCGUUCUAAUGUCCUCCCGUCAUACAGUGUAGCUUCAGAUGAAUUCCGUGAAAUUCCUUGCAUGGCUGGUGCAAUCUUCAACACAUCAUUUUGCUUAUCUGAAUUUGAUGGUCCUCUGCCAGCACAGGAAGGAUGGAGCUGUUGAAGAUGAGAGACCAAGCCCCAUGAGUUAUCCUUAUCCAGCGUUGGAAGCUGUACAGGUGAAUAGCCAAACAUUACAGGCAAAUUUCCAGGAUUCACAGACUGAGUCCCUGUUCGCUGCUCACCAUUUGACGUAACCUGCAUCAUUCCUGGCAGAGGAUGGCCUGAAGAGCUGGGCACACCAAUAGUGUUAGAUUCUUUUACAGGAAAUGAGUAUGGUAAAUUCAUGAUGUUUACUGGUCGGACAGAGAAUGGAACUCCAUAAUUCAAGUUUCCAUGCUUAAUUUCAGAUUCUGAUGAACCAUUAGGCCUCUUUUGCC
rnacentral:misc_RNA from 1 species